rnacentral:tRNA from 4 species
ACCUAAAUAGCUUAUUGUGUAGAGUAUAACAUUGAAGAUGUUAGGGAAAUAUUUUUAUUUUUAGGUA